rnacentral:rRNA from 1 species
UUAAGCGUGGAGCUUAACUCCAUCAUGGCAGUGGAAACUGAAAGGCUUGAGUAUGGUAGGGGCAGAGGGAAUUCCCGGUGUAGCGGUGAAAUGCGUAGAUAUCGGGAAGAACACCAGUGGCGAAGGCGCUCUGCUGGGCCAUUACUGACGCUCAUGGACGAAAGCCAGGGGAGCGAAAGGGAUUAGAUACCCCUGUAGUCCUGGCCGUAAACGAUGAACACUAGGUGUCGGGGGAAUCGACCCCUUCGGUGUCGUAGCUAACGCGUUAAGUGUUCCGCCUGGGGAGUACGCACGCAAGUGUGAAACUCAAAGGAAUUGACGGGGGCCCGCACAAGCGGUGGAGUAUGUGGUUUAAUUCGAUGCAACGCGAAGAACCUUACCAGGGUUUGACAUCCUGCGAACCUCUUAGAAAUUUGAGGGUGCCUUCGGGAAUGCAGUGACAGGUGGUGCAUGGCUGUCGUCAGCUCGUGUCGUGAGAUGUUGGGUUAAGUCCCGCAACGAGCGCAACCCACGUUUUUAGUUGCCAGCAUUUAGUUGGGCACUCUAGAAAGACCGCCGGUGAUAAACCGGAGGAAGGUGUGGAUGACGUCAAGUCAUCAUGCCCCUUACACCCUGGGCUACACACGUACUACAAUGCUACGGACAAAGGGCAGCAAACUCGCGAGAGCUAGCAAAUCCCAUAAACCGUGGCUCAGUUCAGAUCGUAGGCUGCAACUCGCCUACGUGAAGUAGGAAUCGCUAGUAAUCGCAGGUCAGCAUACUGCGGUGAAUACGUUCCCGGGCCUUGUACACACCGCCCGUCACACCAUGGAAGUUGGCCAUGCCCGAAGUCGUUACUCCACCCUUGUGGAGGAGGACGCCGAAGUGGGGCUAAUGACUGGGGUGAAGUCGUAACAAGGUAGCCGUACCGGAAGUGCGGCUG